CUGCUCGCUUCAGCAGCACGUAUACUAAAAUCUGAACCAUACAGAGAAGAUUAGCAUGGGCCCUGCAGAAGGAUGGUGGACAAAUUUGAAAAGUAAACUUUAUAUUG